UACGUAGGGGGCAAGCGUUGUCCGGAUUUAUUGGGCGUAAAGAGCGUGUAGGCGGCCAUACAGGUCAGCUGUGAAAACUCGAGGCUCAACCUCGAGACGUCGGUUGAAACCGUAUGGCUAGAGUCCGGAAGAGGAGAGUGGAAUUCCCGGUGUAGCGGUGAAAUGCGCAGAUAUCGGGAAGAACACCCGUGGCGAAGGCGGCUCUCUGGGACGGUACUGACGCUGAGACGCGAAAGCGCGGGGAGCGAACAGG
rnacentral:rRNA from 1 species